UACGUAGGGUGCGAGCGUUAAUCGGAAUUACUGGGCGUAAAGCGUGCGCAGGCGGUGGCUCAAGCCAGGCGUGAAAUCCCCGGGCUUAACCUGGGAAUGGCGUUUGGGACUGGAUCGCUAGAGUGUGGCAGAGGGAGGUGGAAUUCCACGUGUAGCAGUGAAAUGCGUAGAGAUGUGGAGGAACACCGAUGGCGAAGGCAGCCUCCUGGGCCAACAUUGACGCUCAUGCACGAAAGCGUGGGGAGCAAACAGG
rnacentral:rRNA from 1 species